rnacentral:lncRNA from 1 species
AGAGCCACAGAAAGAAACAAUAGGUCGUCACAGUGUCAAGUAAAUCAGUUGGUAUCAGUUGUUUCAGUUUCUCGUGAAGUUGUCGUAGUUUGUUUCUGUCGUGUUUGAGUCUUCUGUGACAAUCAUUUAUCCGCACUUUGACCAGUCGUAUACAGGUGGCUUUGACAACCUGGAUGGCCUCCUGUGUGUUAAACGGGGACUUGAGUUUAAACCCGGCCGGAGCAAGGCCGUGAGCUUUACAGCGGUGAUUGAACCAGAGUUGUUGUCGAAUUCCUCUGACAGUGCUUGCGUAGGUGAUGUAGUCGUUCGCAAGUCUUUCCCUCUGUCGUCCAAGUGGUAGGGCCUGAUACUUAUUUUUCUAGUUCAAUCUGGUUUUAAUUCUAAUUCGGCGCAACCACUGGUUUUUCUUGGUAUCAAACGUGUUUUCCUCUGAGGGAGAAAACUUGAAACACACAAGUUGAUAAGAAGCUGGUAUAUUAUGACUUUCAGUGACAAUCAAACACGAAGAAGACCUGGGAACUAAGUGAGAAAAGGAAGAGUUAAGCAGCUUUUUUUCUUUAAGCAACUGCAGGGUCCUGACGACAUUAAAAGUAUAUGCGUGCGUGCCCUGACCCUGUUAAAUUGAAAAAUACAACAGCUCCUUCAAAUAAAAAAAAAGAAAAUGAAACCUAUCGAGAUACGAAAGAGUUCUAGUACGUCCAUGAUAUCUAACAAAAAGUACUUUACAAGCGAAAUUGUUUUACGUUCAACGUAAUCUCAUCUUAGUUCGAGUUAAUUCUUCAAAAAUAAAGAUUUUUUUGCAGCUCUUAAUCGAAUUAAUGUCAUCAAGUUUAAAAUCAGCAUUUAGCUUGAUAACCUACCUCGUUUUAUAAUAUUGAACGAAAGUGACCUAUGAGUUCGGUGUCGAUUAUUUUUAAUCCACCUUUCAAACCCGAAACUCAUUUGAAUUACAAAUAAUUUUUAAAAUUAAUAUUCAUAUUUCGCUUAGUCUUACACGUGGAAGAGCUUACGAACUACAAGAAAUUUCAACGUCUUUUUCGAGCUUCUAGGGUUAAAGAAACGCACCAUUUCGACCCUUAAACCUAGGACAUCAUCAGUUCUGUCAAGCUCAUGGAGUGUUUUCUUCUGCUAAAUCGAGUGGUAACGAUUCAUCGUCGACUGGAUUCCUGGUUCAAUUUGAUCACACCUCUUCUUCAGUGCCAAGUAGAAGAUUAAAAUAUUUGCAUGUCAAGAAAUGCAAGGGAGUAGAAAGAAAGACGGCAACAGCAAUAAUUAAGGAUAAGGAGAUGAUGACGAGAACAAUUUAAAAUCAAGGGAUUCGAGGAAAGAAAGAGAUACAGGAGAACUUCUAACAAGACUGACCAAAGAAUAUCUCAAUGUUUCAAGCACGAAUUAAACAAGACAGAUUGUGAUCCAAGAGAAAAACAAGUUUUAUUGAGAGCGCAAUUCUAGUCAGAGCUAAAUGAUUUAAUCGCCCAAAAAACCACGACUAUAAAGUUGUUAUUUAGUGAUUGUUUGUCGGUCCAAUUCAUAGUAAGGGCUGUCGCAGUACGCACCAGUUUUUUCUGUAAGUAAAAUCUGUUCAAAUGUGGCAAGUUUUCCCGCCAAAAAACUUAGAAAAA